CAUGCUUCUGGAUACCUGUGUGUGAUGGGCUGGCAGUGUAUUGUUAGCUGGUUGAAUAUAUAUUAUUAGCAGCUAACAUACAACUGCUAUCUUAUUGCAUAUACAACGAACAUCAGAAUGU
rnacentral:pre_miRNA from 13 species